UAGGCCUCAAAUAAUGUGUGAC
rnacentral:rRNA from 1 species